GUAAAAGAAAAACAUGCACACACGAACACGAGGGCUCGCCUUCUAUCCGUACGAGUACGACGCCGCCGCUGCCGCGGCCGCACGCGACCUCUCCGGCCAUCCGCUGAUCUCCACCUCCAUCGCACCGCCCCACCUCCUGCCACGCCCCGCCCCGCCUCACCGCGCGCUGCCGGCCCCCUGCCCCCCAUCGUCGCACGUCGCCGGCCCUCCGCCCCUCUUUGCCGCGCGUCGCCGGACCGUCUACCGUCGCCGCGCGCUGCCACCGCCUACCCCAUCAGCGCGUCUACUCCUACCCCAAGUGCCCUCACACCCGCGGCCUACCACCGCCGGCGACCCGCGGCGGCCUUCCACCGCCGGCGCCGCUCGACGCAGCGGCGACGGAUCCCCCCGCCUCUGCCACCAUGGCGCCAUCGGGACUCCUCCUCGCUGCUUCCACCUCCACAUUGAUUUCCCCAACCCCGCAGGCUUCGCCUCCAGCCACUUCUUCCCGGCGCACUCUGCCCGCCGUCGGACCCAUCCGCUGAUCUCCACUACCCCAACACCCAAUGACGAUGCAAUCCAUGUUGGCAGAGGAGGAGGUCGUUCAAUCGCCUCAACUCAUGCCAAGAGCAAACUGCAAUUCACCUUGGAAUAUGCAGUGCAAGAGAAGACACAUCGAAUACAGUUUGAAUCAGUUUAGACAGCCAGCCGCCAUUGUUGGUGAAGCUUCAGAUUGAGCUGCAGUGAAGCUGCCAAGUGAAAGAACUGCAGCAGACUAGCGGCGAAGCUAUUCAUUUUCUCGGCACCGUGAAGUUUCAUUGCCGGUCACCCCUAUAGGGGCAUAAGUAUGUGAUCCAGUGUCCAAUCUUUAUAGAUAAGUCACUAGAUGAUUAUACUAGGAAUCACUUAGGAUAUUAGUAUAUUUUUAGUUAUGCUAUCAUAUGGGCUAUCCACAGCUUAUUGUCAGAUCUAAUUAAACCAGAAGAAAAUCUACUUAAUAUAUGUUUGGCUAUGCGAUUCCAAAUUACUUUGUUUCCGGUAAAAAUACCACAUUACUAACAUAUUUUGUGAUGUUUCCCAUAGUUCUUUGCCUUCAUGAAACAACAUAUGGGUGAGGCAAUAUAUUUUCCUGUCUAUAUAUCGGCGUCUCUGUUUUUAAAAAUUGGCAUUGAGGAUCCCUUUUACAUGUUUUUUCUACACCCUGCUGGGAGCUGAAUUGCCUUUCCUAUAUAUGAACAGAUGGCAAGACAUUCAAAGCAUGGUUCCUCGCAUCUGAGCGACAGUUUUUAUGCCCUAUGCCCUUGUCCGUCUCACAUAUCUACCUUGUAUCUACAGGAAAAUAUAUAUUUUCUUUCUACUGCUAAGGCAAUCUAUCUACACGUAAUCUAUGGAUUCUUUGUAGUUCAAAUGGACUAAUCUAUAUAUUAUUUAUGCAGUACUGUUUAUUAAGUUAAAGGUACCCUUUCUAGAGAGUGAAAACUGGUGUAGGGCAGGUUAUAUGGGUAGCAAUGGCUUAUAUCCCUAAUUAUAUUCGAUUUUCUGGUUGUACGCAAUUCGCUUUCCUCAUAGGCAGAAGUAAUGGCUGAGCUAAGUUAACGGCUACAUGUUCCAGAACAAAUUGGAUCUGCAGUGUGUAGAUCGAUUGAUGAUAUUUAUUCUACUUUUAGAGAAAGGACUAAGCCCAACUUUUAAUACAAAGCUUUGAAAGAUUCUGAUAUUGCUGGGCCAGAAGCGAACAAGUGCCAUGCAUGGUGAACUGUCGCUAACUUCAGAAGAUGGUAAGGUUGCAUAUGGCUGGAGCAACCUUCUCUUCAAAUUUUCGGAAUUAUUUACCCUUUUUCUCUGUAGUUUUUAUAUUCAAAUUCUCUUAAUUAUUCUUCACCCAUUUUUUCCUCUGCAGUUUCCAUCCUUUUGAAAGCUCCUUUUGUUCUGUAUGAGCCUAACCUGAAAAUAUAUACGGUUAUAUAUUGUCAGUAUUUUCCUUUUUCCAUACCUCAUGGUUAUUCGCUUCUGUUAGCUAGAUGCAUGUGCUUCAGUUAUAGGAAUUGCAUGCCUUCUACGAUUAUGUCGUUGUUAUUGGCUUGCGAAACAUGCAUAAGACUGUACCUAUGGAUAAAAAUUACCCUACAAACUCCAACAUUGAAAAUACAGACUGGCUGACAUGAAAGUUUGAGAAAUGCAGCAAGUGAAUGACCUUGAUUUGCAUAUUCGAGUGCAGGAUUUAGUAGAGCUGGAGGUGUACCAGCUGUUUGAGGGAUAUCAGGUGUCAUCUACUGCAUGUGAGGCUGUUUAUUUCCUUCAUGUCAUUCAAUUUUGUCACCGGGGCCUCUUACGCCUACUCACUAGGAAUUCAAGUCUUCAACAGGAAAAAAAUUCUGAUGCACACUGUGGACAAUCAUGGAGAGCUGAUAUAGAUGAUGGUUCAUAACAUUUACUAUUAUUAUUCUAUUUUGCCAUAUUUUACAUUCUCAUAUAAUUUUGUGUGUGAGCCGGUAAAGAAAAUAGACCAAGAUCUACCAGUCACUCAUACAGAUGCUUCGCUGUUUGAGAAUCACUCGACCAAGCAUUCAGCUUAAUUUUGUUCUUAGAUCUAUUUGUCAUUUGAUGAGUGAGUUGGAAGCCUUUAGGCUAUCCAUGGCAAGCAAAUCAGCACAUAUAUCAUGUUGAUUCCAUGGUAUUUUUAUAACAGCAUUUAGGUGGACCUCUUAACUUAUACUCAACAUGUACGUGCAUGAAUAUGUAUUUGGGUGGCCAUCUUGAUGUGCCUGGGGCCUUGAGAUCCUUGCCGCCCCCACGUUGAAAGACCGGCACAUCUGCUCCACGCCUCCACCAUGGUCACACGUUCUUCCGUGCAGUACUGCUUUCAAUGUCUUGAGACGCUGAUGUCCAUCACAAACGACGACUGCAGCAGCUGCUCCUGUUUCAAGGGAAAGACAGGGCACUGGGAGCAGGUAAUCUGAUUUGAGAUUCAGACAAUAUGAGCCAGAGGGAUCUGACAGUGGUAUUGUUGUAUUGCAAGGCAUGAACCACACAUUACGAUAUAUUUCCCAUCAACAGUUUGGCUACUGAAAAUGCUUACUUAAUGCUAAUUAUGGUUAAGAGACAAGCUUAUCUGAUUCUGAUCCAUACUUCCUUCACCUUGUGCAGGCAUUUUAUCAAGGACCAUUUUGUUGCAUAUGAAAUGGGAACAAUUUGGUAUUAAAGGGGGGUUGGCGAUUCACCAUCAUUAUGUUUCCUAUGCCAUCUACUCCCUCCGUCCCAAAAUUCUUGUCUUAGAUUUGUCUACAUACGGAUGUAUCUAUUCACAUUUUAGUGUUAGAUACAUCCGUAUCUAGAUAAAUUUAAGACAAGAAUUUUGAGACGGAGGGAGUACUAGGAUCUUCUUUACACCAACUCUACACCAGCCUAUUGGCAUGUUUAUAAACAAAGGAAACUGCUUUGUUCAUAACUUUACACCAACCUAUUGGCAUGUAUAUUAGCAGCAAUGUAACUUAAAUGAACAACUCUAGCAUAUUAAUUAAAAUUCCUUGCACAAUACUUCUCAGUUUCUCAGGUUUAAGAACAAUCUAUAGCACAUUUAAUCUCUUCAGUUAGUAGUCAUGUUUUCCUAUUUAGAUAUUUAUUUUGUGAUCUUGACCUUUACUCCACAUUAAUAUAACCUGAUUUUAAAAUAUAUUUUUAAAGUUGAUUAUAAAUUAUUUUGUUGGAUAGUACAUCAUCUUCAUUCCAUUGGAUAACAUUACCAUCCCUGGUUACAUGAAUAAGCAAAUGUAGCUAUGUCUAAGAUUCCAGAUUCAGGUUGCAAGGUCCUUUUAGAAUCUGCAAAGUAAUUUAUUUUAUCACUUUGUGCUAUCAACUUUGGUAAUCGCUUACUAUUCAUCUGCACGUGAACUUGCCUAUUUUUAGAAAAGUCACUUUAUUGUGAAGUUUGAUUAUUCUUCUAUUUGGGGUUGGCCUAAUAGUCGGUUGUCCAUAUAAGGUCACAUGUACAUUACUUGUUGGAUAUUAUAUGGUUCCAGUUCUCACAAACUUCUCAAUAGCUUGCAGAUGAUUGAUUGAAUGCUUUUUUCUGAUUAUUACACAUCAUCAGUUAUGUAUCAAAAGGCUGAAGUGCCCUUUGAUCAAUCUAACAUAAAGAAGAUUUGUAUGAGCUGCAUGUAAUAGUAACAUAGAAAUUAUGACUGAUGGGAGACAAAAAGAGGGCUGUUGUAGUGGUAAAGAAGUCAAAAUGACCGUUGUUGAACCUAGCAUGUCUACAAAUAAGCAUAUGGCGAUGGACAUAACUUUCUUAUUCACAACUUUCUUAUUUGCAACGGCACUGUCCACUGUUUUCUUCAUAAAAGUUUAUUAUUUGGUCUA